GUGCUCACUUUGGCAGCACAUAUACUAAAAUUGGAACGAUACAGAGAAGUUUAGCAUGGCCCCUGUGCAAGGAUGACAUACAAAUUCGUGAAGUUCCAUAUUUUUGU
ensembl:snRNA U6 U6 spliceosomal RNA